GACGAACGCUGGCGGCGUGCUUAACACAUGCCAGUCGAACGAUGAACCCGGAGCUUGCUCUGGGGGCUUAGUGGCGAGCGGGUGAGUAACACGUGAGUAACCUGCCCUGGACUCUGGGAUAAGCGUUGGACACGACGUCUAAUACAGGAUAGGACCUUGGGUCGCAUGAUCUGGGUUGGACAGUUUUUUCGGUCUGGGAUGUACUCGCGGCCUAUCAGCUUGUUGGUGAGGUAAUGGCUCACCAAGGCGUCGACGGGUGGCCGGCCUGAGAGGGUGACCGGCCACACUGGGACUGAGUCACGGCGGAGGCAGCUGCGGGGGGUAGCAGAGGGGAAGAGUGCACAUGGGGCGAAGGCGUGAUGCAGCAGAGGGGCGUGCGGGAGUACGGCCGUCGGGUUGUAAACGGCGUUGAGUAGGGUAGAAGGGCGGCGGCUUGACGGUACCUGCAGAAAAAGCACCGGCUAACUACGUG
rnacentral:rRNA from 1 species